UGGCACUUUUAGAUGACAUGAUCUCACA
rnacentral:piRNA from 1 species